UACGUAGGGUGCGAGCGUUGUCCGGAAUUAUUGGGCGUAAAGAGCUUGUAGGCGGUCUGUCGCGUCUGCUGUGAAAAUCCGGGCUCAACCCCGGACUUGCAGUGGGUACGGGCAGACUAGAGUGUGGUAGGGGAGACUGGAAUUCCUGGUGUAGCGGUGAAAUGCGCAGAUAUCAGGAGGAACACCGAUGGCGAAGGCAGGUCUCUGGGCCACUACUGACGCUGAGAAGCGAAAGCAUGGGAGCGAACAGG
rnacentral:rRNA from 1 species